rnacentral:rRNA from 1 species
GACGAACGCUGGCGGCGUGCUUAACACAUGCAAGUCGAACGGGAAGGCCCUGCUUUUGUGGGGUGCUCGAGUGGCGAACGGGUGAGUAACACGUGAGUAACCUGCCCUUGACUUUGGGAUAACUUCAGGAAACUGGGGCUAAUACCGGAUAGGAGCUCCUGCUGCAUGGUGGGGGUUGGAAAGUUUCGGCGGUUGGGGAUGGACUCGCGGCUUAUCAGCUUGUUGGUGGGGUAGUGGCUUACCAAGGCUUUGACGGGUAGCCGGCCUGAGAGGGUGACCGGCCACAUUGGGACUGAGAUGCGGCCCAGACUCCUACGGGAGGCAGCAGUGGGGAAUAUUGCACAAUGGGCGGAAGCCUGAUGCAGCAACGCCGCGUGCGGGAUGACGGCCUUCGGGUUGUAAACCGCUUUCGCCUGUGACGAAGCGUGAGUGACGGUAAUGGGUAAAGAAGCACCGGCUAACUACGUG